UACGUAGGGAGCAAGCGUUGUCCGGAAUCAUUGGGCGUAAAGCGCGCGUAGGCGGCCCUGUAAGUCCGUUGUGAAAGUCAAAGGCUCAACCUUUGAAAGCCGAUGGAUACUGCAGGGCUAGAGUCCGGAAGAGGCGAGUGGAAUUCCUGGUGUAGCGGUGGAAUGCGCAGAUAUCAGGAAGAACACCUAUGGCGAAGGCAGCUCUCUGGGACGGUACUGACGCUGAGACGCGAAAGCGUGGGGAGCGAACAGG
rnacentral:rRNA from 1 species